rfam:Schistosoma rodhaini strain Burundi genome assembly, scaffold: SROB_scaffold0005742
ACACUUCUGAUGAGUCCUACACUAGGACGAAACGGCCGUCCAGUAC